rnacentral:rRNA from 1 species
AUUGAACGCUGGCGGUAGGCCUAACACAUGCAAGUCGAACGAGUGGCGGACGGGUGAGUAAUGUCUGGGAAACUGCCUGAUGGAGGGGGAUAACUACUGGAAACGGUAGCUAAUACCGCAUACCAUCAGAUGUUCCCCGAUGGGCUGAGCUAGUAGGUGGGGUAACGGCUCACCUAGGCGACGAUCCCUAGCUGGGCUGAGAGGAUGACCAGGCAAAAUGGAACUGAGACACGGUCCAGACUCCUACGGGAGGCAGCAGUGGGGAAUAUGGAACAAUGGGCGCAAGCCUGAUGCAGCCAUGCCGCGUGUGUGAAGAAGGCCUUCGGGUUGUAAAGCACUUUCAGCGGGGAGGCGUUACCCGCAGAAGAAGCACCGGCUAACUCCGUGCCAGCAGCCGCGGUAAUUC